AUACGAAGGGGGCAAGCGUUGUUCGGAAUAACUGGGCGUAAAGCGCACGUAGGCGGAAUGUUAAGGUAGAGGUGAAAUCCCAGGGCUCAACCCUGGAACUGCCUUUAAUACUGGCAAUCUAGAGACCGAGAGAGGUGAGUGGAAUUCCGAGUGUAGAGGUGAAAUUCGUAGAUAUUCGGAGGAACACCAGUGGCGAAGGCGGCUCACUGGCUCGGUACUGACGCUGAGGUGCGAAAGCGUGGGGAGCAAACAGGAUUAGAAACCCCAGUAGUCC
rnacentral:rRNA from 1 species